CCUACGGGUGGCAGCAGUGAGGAAUAUUGGUCAAUGGACGGGAGUCUGAACCAGCCAAGUAGCGUGAAGGAUGACUGCCCUAUGUGUUGUAAACUUCUUUUAUAAAGGAAUAAAGCGAGGCACGUGUGCCUUUUUGCAUGUACUUUAUGAAUAAGGAUCGGCUAACUCCGUGCCAGCAGCCGCGGUAAUACGGAGGAUUCGAGCGUUAUCCGGAUUUAUUGGGUUUAAAGGGAGCGUAGAUGGGUUGUUAAGUCAGUGGUGAAAGUGUGCGGCCCAACCGUAGAAUUGCAAUUGAUACUGGCAGUCUUGAGUACAGUUGAGGUAGGCGGAAUUCGUGGUGUAGCGGUGAAAUGCUUAGAUAUCACGAAGAACCCCGAUUGCGAAGGCAGCUUACUAACCUGUGACUGACAUUGAGGCUCGAAAGUGUGGGUAUCGAACAGGAUUAGAUACCCCAGUAGUC
rnacentral:rRNA from 1 species